UCCAGUAGUAGUCCUUCUUGACUUGUCCCCUCCUGGAUACAACAACCUAAUCACAAAAUAUAACUCAACAACUCUGGACAAGAGUUGAGUCUAAAGCUCCACAAAAAGAACACCUCCCUUCAACUAAUAAGAACUCUCUUUUUGACAAACUUUAUACACUCGAUAUUUUUCUUGUAUCUAAACCAAAUGAAGACCACCACUAUUUAUAGUUGGGGAUGUCUUCCUAGCAAUCAAUAGGAAGAUAAUGGGGGUAGUAAAUAGCGAAGAGAAAUGGCCUAGAGGUUACAUAGGUUACAAAGAAUAAUGGAGGAAUAAUUUGGAGAAGUAAUGGUGUGGGCAACAAAUGCACCAACGUGCAAAUGAAGAACUGCCAAAGACUGUUGACCACAACGUUCAAUGGAACGUUAUAUGACUUAUGUCAUCUGCCAAUAAAGCCAAAAUAAUUGGCAUUAACAUGACCAAUAAAAAUGGUAAUUAGGCAGCAUUAAGUCACGAACUAAAAGAGCUACUUUAAUAUAAAAUAAUAUUAAAAUGCUUAAUAACCAACAUUAAACCACAUGAAUCCCUUGACAUAAGAAAAUUUUGUGUAUGAUAACGAGUUAAUGGGGUUUCAAAAGUUGUUUUAGGUCACAAGUUUGAAAUUCAGCUAUUUUUUGAACCCUUUAUAUAUAAACCUGACCAGCCAACUGCUUCCAGCUUGUUCGAAAAAACAAAGGGGAACUGUCAAGCUUGUAACUUUAGUACCUAUAUUAUGCAUCAUAUAGUGCCAUGAUUUGCUAGUAUAUUUGCAACUUUAUUAUGC
rnacentral:lncRNA from 1 species